GUGUCAGCAGCCGCGGUAAUACAGAGGUCCCGAGCGUUGUUCGGAUUCACUGGGCGUAAAGGGUGCGUAGGUGGUGGGAUAAGUCGGAUGUGAAAUCUCGGAGCUCAACUCCGAAACUGCAUUGGAAACUGUCCUGCUAGAGGUUUGGAGGGGGGACUGGAAUACUUGGUGUAGCAGUGAAAUGCGUAGAUAUCAAGUGGAACACCGGUGGCGAAGGCGAGUCCCUGGACAACACCUGACACUGAGGCACGAAAGCUAGGGGAGCAAACAGGAUUAGAUACCCUGGUAGUCC
rnacentral:rRNA from 1 species